rnacentral:lncRNA from 1 species
AAGAUUUACCAUCUUGAUCAUUUUUUUUUCCUUGACACAGAGUUUUACUUUGUCGCCCAGGCUGGAGUGCAGUGGCGAGAUCAUGGCUCACGUCAACCUCUGCUUCCCCAGCUCAAGAGAUUCUCCUGCCUCAGCCUCCGGAAUAGCUGGGACUACAGGAAAAGACUGCAGACCAGGAAAUGCAGGUUUCAGACUAGGAGAAGAUUCUGCAAAUCAUGUGGUGGAGAGAAAGCUGUGUUUCCUGGGGGGUUAGCUGCAGCUCCAGUGACCAUACCCCAGGGUCAAGUCACAAAACUCCCCAGGAUCAAUGUUGAACUGUGUCCAGGAAGGAGCAAGAAAUGAAGAGUGUGGCCGGGCGCGGUGGCUCACGCUUGUAAUUUCAGCACUUUGGGAGGCUGAGGCGGGCGGAUCCCGAAUUCAAGAGAUUGAGACUGUCCUGGCUAACACAGUGAAACCCUGUCUCUACUAAAAAUACAAAAAAUUAGCCAGGCGUGGUGGCACACGCCUGCAGUCCCAGCUACUCGGAGGCUGAGGCAGGAGAAUGGCAUGAACCUGGGAGGUGGAGCUUGCAGUGAGCCAAGAUUGCACCACUGCACUCCAACCUGGGCAACAACAAUGAAGCUCCGUCUCAAAAAAAAAAAAAAGAAAGAAAGAAAGAAAAAGAAAAUAAAUGAAGAGUGGGGGAAGGAAGACUGCGGACUGAGGAGAAGCCUGGCUUCUCAGAGAGUGGGAGAGGCUCUGUCUUGGCUCAUCUUCAUUUCACCAGAGACUAAUCUAAGAAGACUUUAUGAGGCAUUACCAACAACAGAAGAAGUAAGUCUGAAGAUCUCAAACCUUCAUCGACUGCUCAAAAGUCCCAAAGUGUCAUUGCAGGACUAUUCACAAGAGCAAAGAUGCAGAACCAAUCCAGGAGUUCAUCAACAGUGGAUUGGAUAAGGAAAAUGUGGUACGUAUACACCAUGGAAUACUAUACAGCCACAAAAAAAGAACUAAAUCAUGUUCUUUGCAGCAACAUGGAUGCAGCUGGAGGCCAUUACCCUAAAGGAAUUAACCCAAGAACAGAAAAACAAACACCACCCACGUGUUCUCACUUAUAAAUAGGAGCUAAGUGUUGGUCACACAUGGGCAUAAAGAUGUGAACACUAGACACUGGGGACUCCUAGAGGAGGAGAGGGAGGAAGGGGAGCAAGGGCUUAAAAACUACCUCCUGGGUACUAUGCUCAGUACCUGGGUGAUGGGAUCAAUUGCACCCCAAACAUCAGCAUCAUGGAAAUAUAUCAAACCUGCACAUGUACAC